rnacentral:rRNA from 1 species
CGGAGAGGGAGCAUGAGAAACGGCUACCACAUCUAAGGAAGGCAGCAGGCGCGUAAAUUACCCAAUCCUGACUCAGGGAGGUAGUGACAAGAAAUAUCAAUAUAAGACUUUUAUGCCUUGUAAUUGGGAUGAGCGAAACAUAAACCGCUUCACGAGUAUCAAUUGGAGGCAAGUCUGGUGCCAGCAGCCGCGGUAAUUCCAACUCCAAUAGCGUAUAUUAAAAUUGUUGCGGUUAAAACGCUCGUAGUUGGAUAUCUGCUAAGGGGUUCCGGUCCUUCCCAGUGAAGAAUACGCGGAACUCUUCUUGGCAUUUAUCCAGGGAAGGUGUUUGCACUUUGUUGUGUGUCACAUGAUCUGAAUUUUUACUUUGAGGAAAUGAGAGUGUUUCAAGCAGGCUUUCGCCGUGAAUAUGAUAGCAUGGAAUAAUAGCACAGGACCCCUUUCCAAAGCUGUUGGUUUUUGGAACGAGGUAAUCAGAAUAAGGAUAGUUGGGGGUAUUCGUAUUUAACUGUCAGAGGUGAAAUUCUUGGAUUUUUUAAAGACGAACUAUUGCGAAGGCAUCUGCCCAGGAUGUUUUUAUUGAUCAAGAACAAAAGUUAGGGGAUCGAAGACGAUCAGAUACCGUCCUAGUCUUAACCUUAAACUAUGCCGGCUGGAGAUUGGAGUUGUCAGAAUUGUGACAUCUUCAGCAUCCUGAGAGAAAUCGAAGUCUUUGGGUUCCGGGGGGAGUAUCAUGGCAAGACUGAAAAUUAAAGGAAGGAACGGAAGGGCCACGACAGGAGUGGAGCCUGCGAUUUAAUUCGACUCAACACGGGGAAACUCAUCAGGUCCAGACAUAGAUAGGCAGGACAGUAUGAUAGUUCUAUUUUAAUUGUAGGGGUGGCGGGGCAUGUCCGAUCUUAGGGAGUGGAGUGAUUGGUUAGGUUAAUUACGUUAACGAACGAGACCUUAACAUAUUAAAUAGAGUCCAGAACUUCGGUUCUCGGGUUACAUAUGAGAGGGACUUUGUGUGCUCAACACAAGGAAGUGCGAGGCAAUAUCAGGUAUGUGAUGACAUUAGAUGUCCUGGGCUGCACGCGCGCUACAGUGAUGAAUUCAAUAAGCACCUAAUCUGAUGCGAAGGGGUAGGGUAACCUAAGCAAAUCACAUCGGGAAGGGGAUAGAUUAUUGCAAAUUUUAGUCCGGAGAGAGGAAAUUAUAGUAAACUCAACUCAUCAGCUUGAGUUGAUUACGUCCCUUCCUUUAGUACACACC